AAUCAGUGCUCAAUGAAUCCUGCAGUUCAAACCAAAUCUCGCAGCUGGCCGCGUUCUUAAUCGACCCGUGAAUCGCGUCAUCCACUCCUCAGAGU